UUGAUUCCUAGCCUUUGAAUACUCGUAUAAUGACAAACAAAAUAAGACAAUAGUACAUAUAGCAUAACAAGGUCCAUAAAACACAAAUAAACAUAGUUUUUGCAAACAUAGUGCUAUGAAUAGACCCGAUUUAUCGGUAGAUUCCCGAUAAAUCGCUUGUCAUAGCGAUAAAUUGGCCCAAAUGAUAAACGGUGAAGAUAAGGCAUAAUCUUAUUGGUCACCCCAAGAGUAGCGAUAAAUCGGAUGAUAAAUCGCUGAAUUGGAAGAUCUUUUGAACAGUGAUCAUUACAGUCGUAGAAUACUUUAACCUUUGCAUGUCCAUCAAUCAUGUAGUUUGAGAGGUAGUCUUGAGUAAACCUGCAAAGGGGGAAGAUUCAGACAUUGUCAUCUAACUCCCAUUAUGGGUAGUAAAAAGAAGGCUUCCGAGUUCCUACUUACCAUCCUCCAAUUCAUUGUUGUCUUGGAUGAAGUGUAAACAAAUAGUUUAUUUGCCCUCUUUUGACCCACUUCACUAACAACUUUUAUCAGUUUCUUCACUUGAUGCUGGUUCAUGAAUAUCUCAUUGCCCCAUACGCAAAAAGGGUCGAAGCGCAGAUCUUUACCAAUGACAUAUGUACCUGCAAACACCACAUUAAUAUUAGAAGCUAAACUGUAAUUGGACAAUGAUGUAGUACAACACUCUCUCCAUCUCAUUAUAUACGAUCUUAUUACAUCCAAUAUACUCACAUAUUGGAUGAAUUAAAAUCUUAUGUUAUGGAACGGAGGGAAUAUGUAUAAGCCAUGAGAUGAAACUAAUCUCGAUAGAAAACAAUCAUAAGUUUGUUGAAAAAGAACAACACACCGUUAUCUUUGUUGUCAAACCAAUUAGCCAAUUCAUCUAUAUAUGAACUGAAGGUUCAAUUUCUAUACACCUCCAGAAUCAUGAUAGUUUUCCUAUGGGUUCUACCAUCUAGGCGUUGCUCCUAAAGGUAUUCACAUGCUCUAUCUGUAAACGUCUUAGUGGAUUGUACGCAAAUUGUGUUAAUUACUGUUAUUACCAUUUUUCUUAAAGCAAUUAUAAGCUCCCUUAACAGGCGAUUUAUGUUUGCCUUAUGUUGCCACAUUAUUUUUGUCAUACUUGUCACAUUUGCCUAACUUGAGUUAGUCAAAUUGUUAGCCAUACUUUGACUUGCCUAUAAAGGAAUCUUGUCAAACUUUUUGUGUCUAUAACAUAUGGGGUUCACUACUCAUAAAAAAAUCCUUGCCUUAAGUGUGGCUAGAAUCAAACACCCACCUAAUUUGAUCAAACUUGUCUAAGAUGAGAUAUGGCAAAGUGUAGCAAUAUGUGGCUAGAAACCAAACAACCCCUUAGUAAUUCCUGUUUCCGCCACUGACGCCAUGUUACGUCGAGAACAAUAUAUUGAAUGUAAGCUAUCUGUAGCGGCUAAGUUUGUGAAUUAUGGUUAUGUCGAAACCUUUUGGCAAGGGAUAGUUUGAGACCAACAAUAUAUAUAUCAAUGUUUUAAAUAGCAGGCUAUCGAAAAUAGCGGUAGCCCUCCGGCUGAUAAUGACAGGCUGUGCGCGCCAUUUACGGACAAGGAGAUCUCUGAUGCAUUGUUUCAAAUUGGGCCUUUGAAGGCACCAGGGCCAGAUGGCUUUCCCGCUCGUUUCUUUCAGCGGAAUUGGAGUAUGGUGAAGGAGGGAGUGAUGGCUGCGGUCAGAGAGUUUUUCAAUUCUGGUGUUAUGCCUGAGGGGGUUAAUGAUACAUCAAUUGUGCUCAUUCCAAAAAUAUCCAAUCCCUUAAGGAUGUCGGACUAUAGGCCAAUAAGUCUUUGUAAUGUCACGUAUAAGGUAAUUUCAAAGUGCCUUGUUAACAGAUUAAGACCUUUGUUAGAUGACAUAAUCUCGGUGGAGCAAAGUGCUUUCAUACUAGGCAGGAUGAUUAGACAAUGCUCUGGUUGCUUUCGAGUGCUUGCAUUAUAUUAAACAAGAGAAGGAUCCAUCAAGUAGUUUUUGUACAUAUAAGCUGGACUUGUCAAAAGCUUAUGAUAGAGUUGAUUGGGCUUUAUUGAAGUAGGUGAUGCAAAGGUUAGGGUUCUCUCAUAGAUGGAUUGAUUGGAUAAUGGCGUGUGUCACAUCGGUGAGGUAUUCAAUUAAAUUAAAUGGAACUCUCCUGGAUUCAUUUGCACCGUCGCGUGGGCUACGACAAGGAGACCCACUCUCUCCAUUUUUAUUCUUAUUUGUGGCAGAUGGACUUUCAGCUAUUUUGAAAAGCAAGGUGCAAGCCGGCGCUAUUGUUCCCGUGAAAAUUUGUAGGAGAGCCCCGGGCAUAUCCCACUUGUUGUUUGCAGAUGAUACCAUGUUGUUCUUUCAGGCUUCGAGGGAUCAAGCGGAGCAGGUUAAAGCAUCUUUGGAUCUUUAUAGUAUGGCCACAGGGCAAAGUUUGAACUAUGACAAGUGCUCUAUUUUCUUCGGGGAAUCUUGCCCGGCCCCCUUUCAGGAGCAGGUCAGGGAUGUUCUAAAUGUCAAAAGCAUGGUUUUUGAGGAGAAGUACUUGGGUCUCCCCACACCCGAGGGUCGCAUGUCUAAAGGGAAGUUUCAGAAUCUUGAGACAAGCCUCACCAAAAGACUUGUCCAGUGGGGAGAUGGAUUGUUGGCGCAGCCAGGGAGGGAAGUACUUAUAAAGUUUGUCGCCCAAGCUUUACCCACAUAUAUAAUGGGAGUGUUUAAGCUUCUGUUCUCGAUGUGCGAUGAUCUCACUAGAAUGGUGAGGAACUUGUAUUGGGGGUCGGAGAAGGGGAAGAGGAAGGUGCAUUGGAAGGGUUGGGAUCAUCUUAUGCAACCAAAAGAUAGAGGCAGAAUCGGUUUCCAAGAUUUUCGUUUAUUCAACCAAGCCCUGCUAGCUCGCCAAGCUUGGAGGUUGAUCAUAAGGCCGGAUAGCUUGUGCGCCCGUCUUCUCAAAUCCAAAUACUACCCGGCGGGCAAGUUAGAGGACACGGUGUUUGCUGGUAACGCCUCAUCUUCAUGGCAGACUAUUAGCCAUGGUUUGGAGUUGUUAAAGAAAGGCUUGAUUUGGAGAAUAGGUGAUGGGAGAAGCAUUCGGGUGUGGCGUGAUAGCUGGAUACCAAGGCCUUUCUCUUACAAACCGAUCACGAGGCAGGGUGUCUGUCGCAUUCGAUAUGUGUCCGAUCUUUUGAAUGACAAUGGGACCUGAAAAGUUCAAACUCAGAACCAAUAUUUCAUGCAAGCAGAUGUGAUGGAGAUUCUGAAGAUCAGGGUGUCACCUAGGCGUGGCGAGGAUGUUCUUGCAUGGGGGCCGGACAAGUUGGGUGUCUUCUCCGUGAAGAGUGCAUAUCACUUGGCGUUCGACGAGAUACACAGGUCCAAUACAGUAUCCUCUAGUUUGUCGCCGACCGGAGCAAGAAGCUGUUGGAAGUUCAUUUGGAGUUGUGGUGCUCCGCCAACAGUGGCAAAUUUUGCAUGGAGGGUCGCGACCGAUGGACUACCAACGUGGAAAAAUAAGCAUAAGAUUGGAUUGGAGACCACAAGUGUUUGCCCAGUUUGUGGAGUAGACACGGAGGAUAACUUUCACCCGUUCGUUCGCUGCUAGUUUGGGAGGGAUCUAUAUUUGAGUAUGGCCAAAGUCUGGAGAUUACCUCAGAUACAGUCAAUUGUUAACUACGGUAGGGAGUGGCUACUGCAAGUUCUCGCACCUAUGAGUGAUAUUGAGAGGUGUAUGAUUCUUCUUGUGUUCUGGAGAAGUUGGUACAUACGCAAUGAGGUGGUUCAUCAUAGACCGGCAUCGCAGAUGGAAGUAUCGGUCCGAUUCCUGCAGAGUUACCUUCACUCUCUGAUGGCCAUCAAGAACGAUAAAGGUGUGGAUUCGGUGAAAGGGAAAGCCAGCAUGAUGAAGGAUAAUGGUCUUCAAACGGCUGCUCUUACGGCUAAGUUGCCUGGAUGGGAAAACCGAAGCAUGGGUGGACAUAACUAAACACGGAUGGAGCUUAUGUGUCAUGUGAAGAUGCUGGGGCGGGCAUGAUCUUGAGAGAUGAGUCAGGAGGAAUCAUCUUCUCUGCAUGCAGGGCACUAUGGGUCUGCCGAGAUGUGCUGGAGGCUGAGCUUCUCGCUUGCUUGGAGGGGCUGUCCUCUUCGGUCCAACGCACAAUGCUGCCGAUACAAGUUGAGCUUGACUCUUCUGCUGCGGUGACCAUGAUCACAUGUGGAGAUAUCGAUCGUUCGAUCUACUCAUCUUUAGUUAAUGAGAUUAGAGAUUUAUUAAGUCAUCAUCAAACCUGUAUUACUCAUGUCACUCGUUCACGGAAUAAGGCGAGCGACUUGCUAGCUUCUUUUGGUCGCCUAAAUUAAGAACAGUAAAACCGCACUUAAUCCCUGCCCUCUCACGAAUUAAGCUUUCUUGACCGUUUGAUUUAGUCUGGUGGGCAAUCCUGAUCGUUCGAUCAUUCCUUGAUGCCGUGUUUACCUCGAAAUGGGCUACAGGCCGUAAGGGCAGCUACUCUGAUGACUUUUUUGGAGCCUUGUGGUUGAUUGGGCCUCCAUGCUCAGCCCAAGAUCGCGAACGGACACAGGGCUCUCAUCUGUGUAAUAAAAAGAAAAAAAUUCUUGAGAGAGGAAUGGAUCAAGGGAGAGGGUGCAUCGGGCGCUGGAUACAAGGACGCAGGCGACCUGCGGUGGGAUCCAGCUGAGGCGCGAGAGGAUCCGGGUGUCACGCCUGCAGAUGGCGAUCUGCAGUGGACUGCAAGUGCAGUUCAGUUAGCAGAUGCUAGCUGAACCGCAACCGUGUGUUGGUCCUGAGGCCAUGUAAUGUGUGUGUGUGUGUUGGAUUGCGGCCUAGGGCGAGCCCGGAGGGCAACUACUUAUUGUGCGGUGAUGGAAUGAUGAGGCAGCGAGUAAUCAGAAUCAAAUCUUCUUUCUCCUUCUCACCUUUCUCCUCACCUGCUCUCCUCACCUACCCGAUCCGAUCUCGAUCCCCUCUCACCCCCUCUUCGUUGGGUCGUGACAAUUUGGUACUCAGAGCCUAGAUUUUUUUUCCACCCCCUCGCCGCCGCGGUUCUCAUAUCCUCUCGGUCGCCGGUAACAUCCACCGGGUCAGGUGCAAGCCGCUCCGGCAAGUUUGCACGAAAUCCUGCUUGGUGUACGGUUGAUUUGGAGCGAGACCACGGCGCCAUCCAAACCCUUGGUGCAGACCCGCCGCGUUCUCGACGCGAUGUCAGAGACCACCGACAAGCUGCAGACCUUGCUGGAGUCGGCCAUCCGCCGCCUCGAUGCGAACCAGAAGACGGCCAACGAGCGACACCAGGCACAGCUCUCCUACAACGAGCAGGUCUCCACCGAGCUCAAGCACCUCUCCAAGCAGAUCGAUCUCACGCAGGCAGAUGUGGAUGAGGCGCGCAAGGCCGCGCCCACGGUCGACCCCUCCGCCGCGCACCACACCACCAUGUCCCUAGCAGCGGGCUCCUCUGCACCACCACCACCACCACCGCCACCGCCACCGUCAUCUCGGACCGCACCUCCCCCGCUCUACACAGAUGGAGCAGCCCAGCUGCCUUUCGCGCGGCUUGUCAACCACGGCCCGCCUCUACUACUCCAACCUUCCCCAACGGCUUCAGAUCGGGAGCGCGGAACAGAUCUCUACACCAAGCUGCUGAAGCAUGAUUUUCCGUGGUUCGACGGCGAUGCCACGUGCAUCUGGCUCGAGCGUUGCGUCUCCUACUUCGAGUUGUACCGCGUGCCACCGCACAGCUGGGUCACCACGGCCUCGCUGUACAUGGAUGGCUUGGUAGCGAUGUGGCUACAGGCUCAUCGUCAGAAACAUUCAGGGUUGUCGUGGACAGCCUUUCGUGCGGUAGUGGAAGAGGAAUUUGGGCCAGAGGAGUUUGAAGCACAGAUGCAUCAGUUGGUUCAGUUGCGGCAGACUGGGAGCGUGCAAGAAUAUCGACAGCAAUUCGAGACAUCGAUGUAUCAUCUGUUGUCAUUGGAUCCGCAUUUGAGCCUGCAGUUUUUCAUCUCUCAGUUUCUGCUCGGGCUCAAGGAUGAGCUUCGUCUGGGCGUCCGUCUGCAAGCUCCUACCAGCAUCACUCGAGCUGCCGUUUUCGCAAGAAUGCAGGAAGAGGAAAUCUAGCGACAACGCGCACAGCGACAGCGGGUCGUACCAGUGGGUCGUCCACCUCCACAAGCAGCAACAGUAGCCCCCAAUCCAGCUCGGGCAGCAGCACAACAGCGCCCAGCGAACGAUGAAUUUGCUCGGGAACGACAGUUAAGAGAAUUCCGACAAGCUAAUGGACUGUGUUUCUGCUGUGGGGAUAAAUACUCCCGUGAGCAUCAGUGCAAACGCACAGGACAGAUUCUGAUGAUUGAAGUGGGCGAAUUCAGAGAAAUUCUGUCAGACGACACGGUGCACGCGCUGCAACUAUUGGAUGCACCCGUGCAGCAAGAACCAGAAUGCUGCUCUUUGAGCCAGCAUGCUAUGUCUGGCGAGGAAGGGUCAUCCACAAUUCGUCUACGCGCCCAAGUGGGCGAUCAGAUCAUGCUGCUGCUAGUCGAUUCGGGAAGUUCCCACAGCUUCAUUAGCGAAAAUUUCACCGCUCGAAUUGCUGCUAAGACGGAAGAACUACCUCCUGUGUCAGUUCGUGUGGUGAAUGGACAGCAGCUGUGCUGCAACAAGCUGGUGCGCAAAUUGGCCUGGACAGUGCCUGGCCACACCUUCAACACUGAUCUCCGAGUGUUACCACUUAGUGCAUACGAUGGCGUUUUGGGCAUUGACUGGCUCUCCGCCCAUAGUCCGAUGUGGUGCCACUUGGAACUGAAGACAAUUCAGUUUGACACCGGGGGUAAGACCGUGAAACUGUAAGGAGUAAAAACCACCAAUCUGUCUCGCACUGCCGAGCUGGAUGCUUAUGAGCUUCAUCGCAUGGAAGUGGCAAACGACAUCUGGACAGCGGCCCUUAUCACCGUGGAGAAAACUGACGAAACACCACUCGCACCAAUCCCAGCCAGUAUUCAGAAAGUUCUACACGAAUAUCAGGACGUGUUUGCUGAACCAAACACCCUGCCCCCGCGACGUCAGUACGACCACAACAUCAACCUGGAGCCAGGCACCACACCUAUCAACACAAAGCCGUACCGCUACUCGCCGGCGCAGAAGGAUGAAAUCGAGCGGCAAGUUUAGGAGAUGCUUGACUCGGGUCUCAUCGCGCACAACAUGAGUCCCUACGUCGCGCCCGUGCUGCUCGUGAAAAAGAAGGACGGCAGCUGGCGAUUCUGUGUUGAUUUUCGACGUUUGAAUACAACAACAGUGAAAAACAAGUUUCCCUUGCCUGUGGUCGAUGAGCUGCUCGAUGAACUGGCCGGGGCCAAAUACUUCUCCAAGAUUGACUUGCGCGCGGGAUACCACCAAAUCCGUAUGCGGGAAGAGGACGAAGAGAAAACAGCUUUCAAGACACAUCGCGGCCAUUACCAUUUCCGCGUCAUGCCAUUCGGGUUGUGCAACGCGCCAGCUACGUUUCAGUGCUUGAUGAACACUGUCUUCGGCCGCUACGUUCAUAAGUUCAUCAUUAUUUUCUUGGAUGACAUCUUGGUUUUCAGCAUAGACCUGCAGGAACACGAAGAACACAUGCGCCUCACUCUGGACCUCCUCCCCGAAAAUCAGCUGUUCGCCAAGGCCAACAAGUGUUCGUUCGCACAAACAAGUAUUGAGUACCUGGGGCACAUGAUCUCACAAGACGGCGUCGCCACCGACACAAGCAAGACCAGUGCAAUGCAGGCCUGGCCCGUGCCCUCGACACCAACCGAGCUACACGGGUUCCUGGGGUUGACAGGGUACUACCGCAAAUUCGUUCCUCAUUAUGGCAUCAUCGCCAAGCCCUUGACGCAGCUCCUCUCGAAGAAAGGAUUCGUCUGGGACAACAAGGCACAACAAGCAUUUGACACGCUCAAGCAGGCGAUGAUGAGCACGCCGGUCUUGGCGCUUCCCAACUUCACGCGCCUGUUCGCCAUCGAGACCGAUGCUUGCGACACUGGCGUGGGCGCGGUGCUCACCCAAGACGGCCAUCCUGUCGCCUACCUCAGCAAAGCUCUCGGGGUGCGAAACCAGAAGCUUUCCACGUAUGAAAAAGAAUUCCUUGCCGUGAUGAUGGCCAUUGACAAGUGGCGGCCAUAUCUGCAACGUGCCCCGUUCGAAAUCGUCACCGGCCACAAGAGCUUGUGCGCAUUGGGAGAUCAGCAGUUGGUCACCGACCUGCAAUGCAAGGCCAUGUCGAAGAUGGUGGGCCUUCAAUUCUCUUUCCGUUACAAGAAAGGCGUCGGCAACGGCGCCGCCGAUGCCAUGUCUCGCGUCGGCCACCUACUGGCACUCGACGCGCUCUCGAUGUGCCAGCCCCAGUGGCUGCAAGAGGUGGCGAACUCCAACGAAACCGAUCCCGAGUCGCAAGAAUUGCUCGCUAAGCUCGCGGUUGUGGGCGAGGACGACCAAGGCCGAGCACUACAGAACAGAGUAAUUCGCCAUCGGGGGCGCCUGUGGAUCGGCCCAACUCCGCGCUCCAGACCAAGCUCAUCGCCGCGCUUCAUCACAGCGCGGUGGGGGGCCACUCCGGCACUACGGCCACCUACCACCGCGUACGCAAGCUCUUCGCCUGGCCUGGCCUCAAGCACGCCGUGGAGGACUUCGUUCGCCAGUGUGGCAUCUGCCAGCAUGCCAAGCAUGAGAACAAGCACCCGGCCGGCAAGCUGCAACCUCUGCCGAUUCCUGACGCGCCAUGGCAGGACAUGACCAUGGACUUCGUCGAGGGUCUACCCAAAUCUGAAGGUUGCGACUCCAUCAUGGUCGUCGUCGAUCGGCUCACCAAGUUCGCGCACUUUGUGCCGCUCCAUCACCCCUUCACCGCGGCGCAGGUGGCCCGCGCAUUCUGGGAGCACGUCAUCAAGUUGCACGGCGUCACUCGCUCCAUCGUCUCCGAUCGAGACAAAAUCUUCACCAGCACAAUGUGGCGCGAACUGCUCGCCACAGCCGGCACCAAGCUUCUCUACUCCACCGCCUACCAUCCCCAGACGGACGGCCAGACGGAACGAGUCAACCAGUGCCUCGAGAUGUACCUUCGAUGCGCCGUCCACGACACCCCACGGCAAUGGAGCAAGUGGUUGCCGGCAGCAGAGUUCUGGUACAACUCCACACAUCACACAUCUCUCAAGUGCUCACCCUUUCGGGCACUCUACAGUGUCGACCCCAACCUGGACGGACUGCCGCACUUCAACACCGACUCGACUCCGAGUGCGCCCGCGGACGACCUGGACUGGGCUGUGCACACGGAACGCCUCCGUGCCCAGCUUGCCAGAGCACAGACGCGCUUCAAGAAGCAGGCCGAUCGUCACCGUGCCGAGCGCGCAUUCGACGUCGGCGAACAAGUGUUACUCAAGCUACAACCGUACGCGCAAUCAUCCAUCGUCAAUCGCCCAUGCCGGAAGCUCUCCUACAAGUUCUACGGGCCAUUCACGGUGACUGAACGGAUCGGCACCUUAGCGUACUGCCUUCAACUGCCAGCGGACAGCCGCAUUCAUCCGGUAUUCCAUGUCUCCCAAUUGAAGCCUUACACCCCUGACUACACUCCUGUCUUCUCGGAGCUGCCGCAAGUACCAGACCUGGUCGCCGGCGAUGCAGAACCAGUGGCCAUCGUGGAGCGUCGUAUGAUGAAGAAGGGCGACGCACCAGUAAUCCAACUGCAAGUUCAGUGGUCCAACCGACCACCGACUGCCACAACCUGGGAAGACUACGACGUUCUCAAGGAGCGAUACCCAUUGGCCUGCAUCUGGGAGGAAGCUCCUUCUCAAGACAGGGGCAAUGUCACGCCUGCAGAUGGCGAUCUGCAGCGGACUGCAAGUGCAGUUCAGUUAGCAGAUGCUAACUGAACCGCAACCGUGUGUUGGGCCUGAGGCCAUGUAAUGUGUGUGUGUUGGGUUGCGGCCCAGGGCGAGCCCAGAGGGCAACUACUUAUUGUGCGGUGAUCGAAUGAUGAGGCAGCGAGUAAUCAGAAUCAAAUCUUCUUUCUCCUUCUCACCUUUCUCCUCACCUGCUCUCCUCACCUACCCGAUCCGAUCUCGAUCCCCUCUCACCCCCUCUUCGUUGGGUCGUGACACCGGGGCCGGUCGAUCUAGCCGUCAGGAGAUCCGCCAGCGAGGCAGAAAAGGGGUAAUGGCGCCUCAUCUUUUGGAAACUGCUCCGCUCAGACUUCAAACACACAAUUACACUUCAGUUUCUAAUCACGCAUAGACAGAGAUUGAUGAGGAUGCAGUGCACGGAGCAGCCGUUUCUACAGAACAUUAGUGCAUUAAUGGAGUGGGGUUGCGCCUCAAGACGGAUGGUGGAGGUCAGGUACCUACAUAUGCUCUGUCCGGUCACCCAGGUUCUUCUCCCUUCUUCCUCCAGCAGUACUACAGUAGCAUCAAGAGCUACGCUUCUCCACUAUGUCGCCCCUCAUCUUCAAUUUUGAUGCAGAUUUCCCUUUCCCAAUACAAUCCCUUGGCACUUAAUAUAUAUACUCUGGUCGGGCUCCUACUGAUGUUGAUUUCCGCUUUUAAUUUGUUGCAGUUAUUGUCGCCCAAGUGUUUGUGAUUGCUUCUAGCUUAUUGGUUCAACAAAUUUCUGCAGGGUGUUUCUCGGGUUAUUUUUGUUCCUGAAUUCUAAAACUGAGGAUCCCAAUGGCUGCUCAAAGGUUAGUUUAGUCGAAUUUCAUAUUUUAUUCCAUAGUCAGUGUGUUCAUACGAUUGCUUACUUUCCAUUUUUAUCUGUUCGUAAAUAUUCAUGACAUGCUACUGUCCACUAUUAUUUUCGCUAUAUAUAUGCAUGAUGCAUCAGGUUAUUUAGGACGGUAGAUCCUUAGAUGCAUGCAUAAUCUUGUUGUACACAGUCUUAGUUUGUUCCUAUAUGAAAAAUGACAUAUAUAAUGUCUGUACAGUUCUUUGAAAGAAGAAAGGAUUGUUGAAUGUUUGGUGCUUCCAGUAUGUGCCUGAUUGUGGAGGAGAUGUUGGAGAUGGGGAUGUGGCUUCUCCUACUUCAGAAUGUAGCGUAAUUAAAUGGCUUCUUGCAUUCCAGUUAAGUAAAGUCUCUUUUGCACUCUAUCUGCAACUUUCUCCUUUGGGGGUAUUGGAAUUAUUUUUAGUAUGAUUGAAUUGAUUGUUAAGUGCGCAAUGUAUGUUUGUGAUAGGUUUAUAGCCGAUUCUUUAUUUUUUACAAAGUUGAGCAGAAAGAACAAGAGCAAAGCCUUUUUUUUCCAAAGCCUACCCAGCCUGACAACUUUUGAAUGAUCUAACCCCGAAGCAAGAUUUGUACAUAAAUUGCUAUGAUGGGCCAACUAAAGAUCCAACUCAAGUACCCUUCUUCCGAGUUUAAGGAGAGAACUGUCUUGAUGAACCCGUUUUCACCGCACACCGGCCCCAUUCAAUCUUUUCUACUGGACCGAACCACCGCAGAAACUAGGUAAGAGGAAUCAAAGAAAUGUGAGUAUAAGACAUGAUGUUAACAUCAUUUCUAUGAAUUUCAUUUCUUGUACUAUUGUACCUAAACAUUUCUCUCUUAAUAAUAGGAAAAACCUCAAAUUUAAAUAUGGUAACACUAGCACUAUAUCUUAUUUUUGUUUAUAGAUGUAAAGAUAUGUAUGUAGAACUAUUUUAUAUUGCUCUCAUGUCUGCUUUACCCACAACCUAUUUAUCAUGAUGUAUCUACCAUUCUCAAACUUUGUAUUGCAAAUUUCUGCAACAUUUUGCUAUAGAGUUAUUUUGGGAGCCAAAACAGUAGAUGAUCAAUCACAAAAAAAUGUUCCCAUCAGCCAUCCUAAUUUAAAUCACAUACACUUGAUACCACGAUACCACGACUUGAACCAACACGUCUGCAUGUGCUCUCAGAUGAAUAGUAAAUUCAAAAUAAAUAGUAAAUAAAAUUGAAAAAUUUUGUCUUCUUGUGUACAUGUUCCUGUGUUCCUGUUAGUGUAACAAGCGUGCUCGACAAUUUUCAUGUGAAACGGAAUAGCAGUACUUCGUUGGUGAAAAAACAAAAUUAAGUGUAAAAUUCGGUAUUCAACUUUUUUUUUGCACGGGUCAACAAAAUUGGGCGCAGGAGCAUAUACUCCCAAGAGCCAAACUGGAUUUCCUCGAACACACUACUUUCUUGCAAACCAACUGGAUUUCUCUCUGUAGUUACAUAGUAUUAUUGUAGAUUGACCGGCUCCUCUCCCUUAUUACAUAUCAUUUUUUGUGAGUCCCGAUUACAUAUCAUUGUGUUGAAAAAAUCAAGCGGAAACAAAAACAACCUACAAGGAAGCCUAAUACAUCAAACAAAGUAUAUAAAUUACUUCAAGUCCCUAAAAAUAAAAUUAAGAAUAGACGGGCGCAGCAACGCGCGCCAUUAACAAUCUAGUAAAAUGAAAAGCAAGACUGAGGGGAUGUCCUAAAGAAGUGUCAUCCUAAUCGGCUCCUUCUGUGCCGGUUAGGGGAUCUGGCACCCAUGCGCAAGCAAAAAUGGGCCGGCCCAGCAGACGGGCGAGCGAUGGCUCGUGAGGGCGCAACUGCUUCGCUCGGUCAAUGGUUGACUAUUCCAUAGUUGACCACCUCACUGGUCAACAAUUGAUUCUUUAAAAAAAAUCAAUAAAUCCAAGAAAACGCAAAAACAAGGAAAAGUUUGCCAAUUUAGAAAAAUUACGAAUUUGAAAAUUUUGCGAUUAUGAAAAAAUGUUGACGAAUUUUUAAAAAGUUCACAUAAUGGGAAAAAGGUCCAAAGGUUUUAAAUAGUUCAAUGCUUUUCAAAAAAAGUUCAUGAAUUUGGAAAAUCUUCACAAAUUUGAAAAAUAGUAAUCACGGAUUUGAAAAAAGUUCGUUGAUUGGACAAAACAGCUCAUAGAUUUGAAAGUUUGAGGAUUUGUUUAAAAAGUUAGACUAUUGAAAAAAUUCACCAAUUUUGAAACAAAGUUCAUGAAUCUAAAAAAGUUCAUGUGGUUUUAAAAAAAGCUCAAAAAUUAAAGAAACUUCUUGAUUUUGAAAAAAUACCAUACUUAUAGAAAACAUUAAAAAAUGAAAAGACAGAAAAUGAAAAAAAAAUGGCAGCAGAAAACACACCAGAGUUCUUAAAUGGGUUGGCCCUCUAAGUCGAAUGGGGUGUGUGCCCGUUAGUGAAAUACAAUAAAACCGGGCCAACUCCUGUUUGGCGCCUUGUGCGCCCGUUAAUGUGUUAUCCGGAAACUGGCACACACCCCAUUCGCCGAGCCAGACCAUUUUUAUCUUUUCUAUUAACCUUCAAAAAGAGGCGUGUCCGACGAGAUUCCAACUCCUGACCAUCUUGUUUAGUAUACCUCACAUUCUUAAAAAAGAAAACAAGGACAUCUCACAUGUUGUGAGUACUUACUUAUUUUUUCUUCUUUCUUCUUUCUUCUGUCCGCGGAAGCUCCCAGUUUUGAAAAUCUUUCCAAACUGGUUUUCCCAGUUUGCAAAAUUGAAGAUUUGUUUUAAAAAAUGAUGAUUUUUUUCAAACUUGUGGAUACUUUUCCAAAAUCGAUGAAUUUGUGCAAAUUCGUGAACUUUUGCAAAAUCUAUGAACUUUUUCCCUACAAUAUGUGAACGUUUUUCGAAUUUCAUGAACUUUUUUCCGUACUCGUGAACUUUUUAUUGCAAAUCUAUGAACUUUUUUUCAAAUCCAUGUUUUUUCAAAAAAAAAAUCUGAAAUGUUCAGAUUUAUUUUUCACAAAGGUCAAAACAAUUGUCUGCUCAACAACUGACCAGUUAACGGCUGCCGAUCAACCAUUGACCUGGGUGAUCAAAUAAUAAGCUACGUACCAAGUGAUUGAAGAGACAAGAUAUUCAAGCGACGCAAGGGACCAUUCACAAGCGAAGGGGAUGAGUCAGCAAAGACAAAGAGAUAAAGGUUAAGGCAAGGGGAAGUGCUUCUCGUGUGGCCUGCGGGGGUACACGUGUUGAGGAGUCGAGGCGUCUGAUUACACGAUUGGAAUCCUCUACCUUUGACAUACUACAUUAAUUUGGAAGGUUACUGCAUUAUAUAGAGUUCUAAUACAUUAUAUGGAGCAUUAAUAUUGAGUUUUAGUGCACUACAUUAAUUAAGCAACUGUUAAUGGUAUGAUUGGAAUCAUCUGUCUUUAUUAUACUCUAUUAAUUGGAAAGGCUACUUGUACUAAUACAUAAUAUAUAGUUUUAGUGUACUGCAUUAAUUAAGUUAUAUAUGGCAAAUCUUAGUGCAUUACUCUGCUCUGUUUCGUGAGGAAAAAAGAUGCUUGCGGCUGGCUUUAUAUAUCUGAGCCGUAUCUUCAGGCCUUCUCCACUCUCUUUCUAUCACCAGCAGUACCUUCUUUUUUUCUCGAAAAGGGGAAAGACCUUCUGAAGAGCGCAAGGUGUGUGCGUGCUAUGGAGAACGGCAACGCCCUACCAUCUGGUGUCAGCAGGGACACUUUGCCCCAGGAUUUCCCCGCGGGGAUGAGGGUCCUCGUGGUGGAGGAUGACCCAAACGAUCUCGAGGACUUGACGCAAAUCCUCGAGAGGUGCGGCUACAAAGGUACCUGGGCGGCCAUCUUAGAUCUACUCCCCUCAGUUUUGCAUGUCUCCUCUGCCUAUUCUUGUGAGAUCUGCAUCACCUUGUACGUACGUGUUUGUGUCAUGCAGUGACGGCAAAAGCGUCGCCAAGAGAAGCGCUGAUAGAGGUGGAGGAGAAAGGAAAGGGCUUCCACUUCGAUAUCAUCGUGACCGUCGUGCACGGUGGCGAAGAAGGAGCUGGAUUCGAUGGCUUCGACCUCCUCGAGCGCGUUCGGGGUUGCUACCCAGUCAUCAGUGAGUAUUCGAAAUGUGAUCGCACACAUAUAGGCAUGCAUGGUUACUGUGAGGUUAGUAUCGGUACAUACUGAUGUGCAAUCCUGCAUGUGUUUGUGUAGUUUUCUCCCCGGACUAUUCCAAGGAGAUGGUGAUGAGGACAAUCAAUGAAGGCGCCUGCGACUUCAUGCCAAAGCCUAUGUGCUACCAGGAGGUGCGCAAUAUCUGGUUCCAUGUCGACAUGCAGAGGGGAUUAGAAGUGGACAACCCUGACGAGGGGGUAGAAGGUGCGUCACAUAUGUUUCUAACUAUUUCCACCAUGUUUGGCUGUUUGUUGUGGCUGCAUCGUACGUGAUCCUUUUCUACUCUGCUAAUUAGUUUCUGGGUGCUUGUUGAAGAUUUCACUUGUAACAUGCAAGCAUUUCCAUGUAUAUAUAGUAGAUAGGUAGGUUUGCGAGUGCCGGUCUUAAGAGCGAGGAGUCCGCGUGGCGGCAAGCAGGCAUGCGUCAGUGGCCGUGCCUGGCGUCCUCGUCGGCGUGGGCUGGCUGCUGGCGUCCGUUGUCCUGGCUGUGCACAGGCUUCUAGCGGCUGGCCAAAAGUAUGUCUAGCAAGAUUAUGUGCCUUAAAAUUGGUAUCCUUCCCUUCAAAAAUAAAAGAGCAGUGCUGAAACUGGCUCGAGGUAGCUUUAGGUUACGUUUGGUUCAUUAGGUAGCCUUGAUAACGCUUGCGUAUGUGCUGAAGUACUAUAUGCAAGUGUGGGACUGGGCCGCAGCGUGCGUUUUUGAGCUGAACACUUGUCAGGCCUGGCGAAGCUCUGGCCGAGCCCGAAACCUCUCUCAUCCUGUCAAGCCUUAGUUUGGAUGGUCAUCAGAAAUGCAAUUCUACUAUGCACGGGGUAUUCUUUGCAUGGACCCAUUGUCCAUGGUCUUUUUGAGUUUCAUGCUAUUUGUUGACUGUUUUCAAAUCUUGUCUUUGUUUCAAAGCUUUACAUUGGGAAUGAUUAAUACAUUUCAUUAAAGGAAUGAUUUCAAUCAAGCUUGGCCUAAUUAAUGUAGGGCAUUAAACUAGCCCCGAUUGACGUAGUAUAAUCAAGGUGCCAUUCCAAUUAGGCAGCUGAUUGCGCGCUUGCGUUGACCGUCUCGACAGGUCGCCACAUGCCAUAGUACUGGGCCUUAUGUGAAGUGACCCCCUUACCUUAUCCCUAUCUAUUCAUCUUCCCCUACUCACCCCCCUCCCUCACCCCUCCUACCUCGCGCUAUACUCCAUCAUCACCUACCAAAUCUCACUUGUUCCGAUCACCUCUUCCAUCUCUAGGCUAUCAUUCCACCACCGUCUGCUAAUCCACGUGACACGUGCUACUUCAAGGGCAGUGUCGUGUUGCUGCAACCUAGGGCCGCCGCGCCGCAAGUGGCUGCCCAUUGCUGGAACCGACUAAACCACCGCUUGCUGAUUGUAGGCGAGCUACACAUUCUAAUUGGUUGUUUUACGACAAAACUGAGAUGACUAAUGUAGUAAUGUAUUGAAUGAGUUUAUUUCGGGGAGUAGGACUAAUUUUCCUAUUCAAGUCUUGGUCUAAAGGUGAAGUAUCAUUCAUGACCCCACGAACAACUUCUCUAGUUUUUGUCCUCUUGAAGCUCUUAACAUGUAUUUUUCUAGGCGUUUACCGAAUCCAGGGUUCACAUUGAGUGUAGGACAAUCGUACUAUGAAAUGCAGCAAGAGCUAAGUACUUUGUUUUAAAACCAAAGAAUAGAUUAUAAUAAAAAAGUCCUCCAAAGUCGAAUAUCCAAUUAUGAGCCUAGGCUCAUUUGCACCUGGUGAUCAAUAAAUUUUAAAAUAAUACUAGGAAAAUUAAAAAAAUCCAAUUUUUUGCAUGGAAGAUAUUGGAAUGAGUGAAGUGUGUGUCAAAAUUCCAUGCAUUUGGACACCCGAGUAGCUCUCAGCAAAAAAAAUAAAUCAGAUUUGAACAGUGCACAAGCAGUAAACUUUUUCAUAGACCCGAAAUUUGUCCUUGUUGCCGAGAGCUACUCGGACAUCCAAAUGUUCUGAAAUUUGGCACGUACAUCACGCACCUAGGCAUCUUUCUCUACAAAAGAAUCUGUUUUUUUUAAUUAAUUUAGUAUUUUAAAUGAUUUUUUGUUCACUCACGGGCUCAUCUGAGUCUGGGAGCCAAAACACAUCAUUCCUCUAAAAUCCACUUCCUAGCCAUUCCCCUUGUAUGGGUUUCUCUAAGCCCCGGUACAUCUGAAGAUUUAUCUUCCCAUACUAUGCGCCACUUUGGGCUAUUCAUACUUAGAGAAAAUAUUUUUCAAUACUUAAGAACCGCUAUUCAUUUUUUUCGGAACUGCUGAGAAAUCCACUUUGAAGCAUUUUCUAUACUAUGUCGUUGUCGACCACAAUACUUCUCAUCGGCAAUUUCGAGUUGUCAUGAUUUAUUUAUCUAUCGGGCAAAAUAUAUGUCCAGUAAUUUCGCUUCGUUUUCAACUGGAACUUCCGAGCUGCUCCUUUCUGUAGAUUCUUAUUCUAAGAACUACUCCCUCACUAUGGUACUACCAAGCAAUUGGUUUUACAUGGUACUUUCUGAGUAGUUGUGCCUUUGCCGAAAUGUGUUAUCUUUUUCAGUUGAAACCUCUACUUAUUCAUUCAGUGGUACUUCUGAGUGAUUUACUUUAUUUGGUCCCUGAACAUUGUUGUGGCCAUUCAAAUUUAUUUGAAUUGUCUUGGUUGUUCCAUAAACUACUACCGGUCCUUCCAAGCAUGGUUACUUAUUUUUUGCAGUAACAUCUAUAUUUUGGAACUUAUCCACAAAUAGCCUAUACCCAUCCAUGGUUGCAACCAUUCCUUUCCACCCUUAGUCAUUUCACUCACUCAAUCCACCUAUUCAAAUCACCCCACUCCAUCACACUUAAGAAAAGAAGUUCUGGGUGGUUCCAUGUUCACUUCUUUGAUUCUUCCAAGGCCAGGAACUCCCCUUUCCUGCAUACCUACAUCUCUAGUUCAUCUCUUUCAUGAAAUUCCUAUUCUGGUGAGAGUGACCCCUUUGAUUCUUUAGAGAAUUUUUGAUUGAAGAUCAUUCUGGGAGUUCUUAUCAAGUGACUUUUCUUUGCUUGUUACUCUUGGCUAGUGAGCGCAUCCUAGAUGGUUAGGGGUCACUUGAGAUCCUAUCAUGUUCUAUAACUAGAUGCUUGUUAAGUACUUAAGCUUGUGUUGACCUUGUUGUCUUGUGCUAAAAACUUCCUACCCUAAAAUCAGGAUAUAAUUAUUUUAUAGCACUAUUCACCCUUUCUAGUCCUUAGACCUUAAUCCAAACACCGCACGUGUUAGCUGCAAGUGGUUCAAGAGUUGGCAGCCGUCACAAAUGCUAGAGUGAGCUCAAAAUCGACAAUGCUAAGCCGGUGACCGGGGAUUUUCAGCCCUCUAGCACACAGAAGAUGUCGGUGCGCAAGAAGCACCAUCUUGAUGUCGUGUUCAUGGCUUUUUAUAUUCAUCACCCUAUGAAUAAGACAUCUGAGCCCUUCUUUCAGAUGAUGGUGCCUGCUUCUAAGAUCAGGGGGCUUCAUGGCACCAUCUCUUUUUGACUGAAGACCCUCAAGAACGUGGUCAACCUCUUUCAUUCUUUUGGGUAAGGCAGAGGAUGGCAUGGUGGACGAUCACAUUGUCGUCGCUGUCUUGGAGCGCACCGUCAUUUCUCUUCGGUGCACUCAUGUGCACCCUGAGUUAGAGUGGAAGUAUCAAAUACAUGUCUCCUUAAUAAUUUGAUGACAAGUUGUACCAGGGUUGUGUGUAUGUGUCACUACAAGUAUUAGGAAAUUUGCCGUCUGUGGAGCUCUUUCUGUCAGCUUUUUAUCGGGGCUGACAGCAAAAUAGAGAAAAAGUGACGGCAAAUUUCUAAUGUCAGCAAAGAGCUCACUUUGUUGUUUGUUUUUAUUUGACGGGCGGCAAAGAAAGACUUUGUCAUAUUUUUUAUUUGACUAGCAGCAAAGACAAACUUAGCCAUAUGUUUUUAUUUGACUGAUAGGAAAGAUAGACUUUGCCGUCAGUUUUUUCUGGUCGUCGGCAAGAGAAAGCACAUCCCGCGGAUCGAUCGCGCAGAUUUAUGAUGUGGCACCACACCACCCCCACGCACGCACGUACUUGCCCAACUCCACCCUACAUGCACCUCUCUCCCUUCUCCCGGCGCCACACCAUCUCCCGCCCCACACCGUCACACCACCUCCCUCCCCGCGCCGCUGCACCACCUCCGGCUCCAUGCUGAACUGUUGCCGCACCUGCAUCUCGAUGCAUGCUGCCGCACCACCUCUUGCUCUGCCCUGUGUCGCCACACCACCUCCUGCCUCCAUGUUGCACCGUCACACCACCUCCAUCCAUGUGUCGCUGCAUCAACUCUUGCCCAGCCCUUGCACCGCGCCGCCACAUGACCUUCCUCCUGGUGUCGCCCGAGGACCUCCUUCUCGUCGCCCUUUCCUGACCCGAGAAAGCCGCCUUCUCCUUGCCGGAGGCCGACGCCGGUGACCGAAGCCACAGGAGCACCGCCGCCCAUCACGUGUCACCUUCACCUUCCUCCUCCCUUCCCUUUCUUCUCCUGGCUCUUCCUCUCUCCAAUGUUUCUCUCUCUCCCAGAUCUCUGUCUCUGUCUCUCCUCAAAGGACAUGGCUGCCACCCGGAAGCUCCCUCCAUCACCUGUGACUCAUCGUCAUCCUACGAAGUUCCCUGCACAUGGAUCCAUCCGACCAUGCAUCCUGCAAAACUCCCUGACGACAAGACCCGGGGCUUGCCCACUUGCACCUUGAAUCUACACCUCUUCCCUGGCACUGCCUCAAACUCGGCGCCAACACCCCGCCUCCUUGCCAUAUUUGUGCCACUUGGCGUCUUCCCCACGAGGAGCAUGAUGCAAUGGCCCUAUCUCUCUUCAGCCUCGACAGAGGAGGACGAGCAGCGCGCCUGUGUUUUUUUCUAAUAUUUACCCAUUUAUUUGCCGUCUGUGAUGUUUGAGGCUAACAGCAAAGAUGGAUUUUGGCCGAUGGCAAAUAUUCUUUUCUUUGCCAUCUGUUAUUAUUCGGCUGACGACACAUACGGAGUUUGGCUGAUGGCAAAGAAUUUUCCAUUCGCCGAGGAAAAGCUCAUGGCAAAGUAGCUCUUUUCUGACUUCAUUUUAUCGUCAGCAAGUUGACGGCAAAGAAUGUUUAAGCAGACAACAAAUUUCUUGAUUCCUCUAGUGUGUGUCUUCAAAUUCUUGGAUGCAUAUUUGUGAUGUCGUGGCAAACCCAUUUCUCUUAGGUGCCUUUGUGGUGUUCUACCUUGAUCAUCAGCUCCUUAGCACUGCGAUGUUUUUCCCAUGAAAGAAAAUAGUUUACAAAGCUCACGACCAUGGUGUGGAACAUUCAUCAUUGGGUUCUCCUUGAAAAAUCAUGCCAAAUGUCUAGCAAAUUCUCCUCGCUCACGACCCCUCCCUCAUACGUCUUCAGGGGACAAAUCUCUUGACAUCUCUAGUUCCAAUGAACACACUUAUGCUAGAUGUUGGGGAAUACAUUGUUUUUCUUUCCACCAAAGGAUGAGAGGUGGGAUUAUCACCUCCUAUAGCCAUCGAUCUUUUGUGGUGUGCACUCAUCUCAAUAGAUGCACAACAUUAGCACCACCUUAUGCUCCAACACUCUAGGAUGCUCCCAUGCCUAACACAUCGACCAUUAUGUACUUAGUUAGGUUGUAGAGCUUACCAUUGUAUUAAUAUGUGAUGUCUAUAUAUACAUGGCCCAGAAGCGUAAAUAUAAUAAAAAUUGAUUUCCAGAAAAUUUCUUAGCAUUAGAGUAGUUCCUUUCCAAUCCUUCACAAUGUGUCAGAACUCUGUUGCGUCCCUCACUGGCACCAAGUCCACUGUCAAGUCCUCUGAUAGCAGCAACCUUCGGAUUGUCCAUGUCUUUGUAAGAAACUCUUCCUUCUCUCCUCCCUCCAUGCAUCAGACCAAUAUCACCAUUCAAACUCAACUUGGCCAUCAAAAACUACACCAAGUGGAAGCAUCUCUUUCAACUCGUGGACACCAAAUUCGACUGCCUUAACCUCAAGCAUGAGUAUGAUCUUGCAUCUUGAGACAUCAAGUGGCGCAAGGAACAUCUCACCAUCAUCAUGUGGCUCUAUGCAACGAUAUCUAGUGAGAUAUACAAUGUGUACAUGUCAACAGAGAACGUAGCCAACACGAUGUGGUAGCACCUGCACGUGUUCUUCGAUGACAAGCUUACCAAAUGCACGAUCCACAUUGGCACAAAUUUCUAGGCAACAUUUCGAGGUGACAUGAUCAUCGCCACCUACUACUGUUGCCUCAGGGCGCUCAUCCACUCCCUCGCCAACGAUGAGAAACUGGUAACCGACAACUCUCUCACAUUGGUGAUGAUUUGCGGCCUCGGCCACAUAUAUCAGGUAAUGGCCUCCAUACUCCACCUACAUUUGCCCUUUCCCCCUUCGUCUAGGCACAGUCAUUGUUGUUUCUUAAGGCAAUCACAAUGUAUCGGCACAAGCACGCCAAUGGCACCCCGACACUCACCAUCAACAAUGACUCUCGCCAAAAAGUGGCGAUGCAGUCGCCAACUUCUAGGAGCACGGCAGCAGGUAACAAGACAAUGAAUAUGCUCCAUAAAUGACCAUUUGAAUCACGAUUGUCCCAGUGGAUGCUCCUCGGAGCAUAGGCGCAUCAGAAGUCAUAAAUGUGGCUCACCCAACCACAUGGGCCAUGGAAAACAUGGCAUCCCUAGUUUCCUUAGUCUGUAAAAUUCGCUCCAUGGUUGGCGACCUUCCCACUAAACCCAGUGGCGUUGUGCUUGGAUGCUGUCGUUCCUGCUGGUUCUACCCUCAUCCAAGCACUCCAUCCCAAGCCUACGUCGAGGUAUACUUAGAUCAUACUGGCUUUAAAAAAUGUUGCAUGCUACAUGGUGAAAACUCAAAUAAGAAAUGUCUCACUAGCCCAACUCCAUCGAUGAUUUGUUCAUGGACCACGAAGCCUCCUCGGAGAUUAAUGAGACAAGUCUUAUUCCCGAUUAAUGCACACUCCCCUUAAUAUUAUAGUUGGAAAUGGUUCGAGGCUCCCCAUCACAACUAUUGGCUACUCUUGUUAUUCCUUCAAUCUGAACAAAUUUUAGUUUCCUCAUCUAUUAUCAAGAACUUAAUUUUAUUUAAUAAUUUUCGUUGUGAUAUUUACUUUUCAUUUGAAUUUGAUCCCUAUGGUUUCUCUUUAAAGGAGCUAGCAACAAUGAGAAUCCCCCUGAGAUCAAAUAGCUCGGGAGACAUCUACAACUUCCGCUUGAUGAAUAAAGGUGGCACCAUUGUUUGCUCUGCAACCAGCUCUGGCGACCUCUGGCAUUGAAGUCUUAGUCACUCAGGGCAAGCUUCUGUUUCUGUAGUAGCUACAAAAUUACUUCCAUCAUGUAAUAAAUAAAUUCGGCAAACUCUUGUUUGUGAUUCUUGCCAGUUUGGAUGACAGCCCUACCUGCGUAUUGAUUCUUCCCUUUUUUUCUACUACUACCCCUCCAAAAAAUACAUUAUGAUUUGUGAAAUUUUCCCAUUGUAUUUUCCCUUCUUAUGAAUUUUAUGUCAUUAUUCUUGAUGAGUACUCACAGCGUUACCGAACUAGUCCAUUACACAACAAGUCUAUUGCCGAUAUUACCCUCCAACACUUUUACACCUUUGUGCUUAACCAAGUCCAUGUUUCUCUCAAAUAAAUGGAAAACAAUCAAGGUGGUGAAAAUUCAUCAACCACAAGCUACAACUAUUUUCUCUCGAUAGUUUUCUUGUUGAAACAAUCUAUAGUCUCCAACCUUCAGGUUUCUUUGACUACACAAGUACCCAUAUGGCCUUAAGAAAGCACUUUGUGCCUGGUCUAUGCGGUUUAGCACACAUCCCCUCUCCCUAGGCUUUGUUGUGUCCGAAUUUGGCUCCUCAUUAUUCACCUUUCACUAAAACAAUAAUGCCACCACCCACCUUGCCUUAUAUGUCGUUGGGAUUAGUCUCAUGGGUAACACCUUUUUGCAAGAAACAAUACGCUUUACAGACUCUCGCUUGCAUCCAUGCUUAAUGCCAAGCCCAUCUUCACCCUCGUUGACACCCAGUCCAUACUAUUUGCCACUGAUGGCCAUCCCUUAGGAUCCAUCACUUUAUAGAAGUCUUGUUAAUGCAUUGCAGUACCCAACUCACACCCAGCCUCAAGGUGUCCCGAGAUUACCAUGUUUCCUUACUACAAGAAAUUCCCUUCUGUAGUCUUCCUGCCAACCUGUUGAAGAGAUCCACCACCUUGGGCAUCACCAUCGUUCGAGUGAGGUCCUCGCAGAUCAAGAAAUUGCCAGUUUCAACUUAAACCACCAGAUUUCACAACCAGGUCACCCCUUUCGUCUCAUGGAUUUAUGUGUCUAAUUCGGUCUCCUUCAUCUUCAUUCCUACAAUAUUUAUAAUUACCCCUCCCUUCAUUACUGAAUCUCCCAGUGCCCCUGUGUCUGCCAAAGUUCUCAAACAUAUCCUCAGUUACAAGUCACCGACGGCUCACAGGGAAACCCUAACACGCCAGAGAACUCACUCUCAUCCACAACCUAGGAUAAAAUCAUGCUAUUUAUAAGUAAUCAAAAGAAAGGGUAAGCGGAUUGCCAAAAUAUAUUUUUAACCCACCAAGACCUGGGCCUCCUGGAUCAAAAGAGACCACUAUAUCAAGCCCAACAACACACUUGUUAUCAACUUGGUUUUCAAUUAUCACUAUAGAUUUCAAUUUCGACCCAUUUCCCCUAAGGCAACUGACAACCUCACAAUCAUUCAAAACUAAUCUCCAAAGUCAACCAUCUCCUCGGACCAAAAAGCAGGGAUGCACGAGAUUUUUUUGGCAUCCAAAUGGUUCUUGACUUUUAUCCCACAACUAAUAAACUUUAUAAAAUCUCCUUAUCUUCAAUUUGGCUGAAUUCACUUAGAGCAAUACCAUAUCCUGAGACACAGGAAGAUGUCUGGUAUCAUUUUUUGUUUUCUGGAUUGCAAUUUACCAACUCAACUUCUUCUAUGUGCAAUUCUCUCUUCACAACUUUGCAAAGGAGAAUGCAGAUAUCUAGAGUAGCAACAAAAAGUACCUUGAUAUCUGAACGACCACACUUCCUCGUUGUCGGAGUCCUCCCCACCUAGCAACCAAAAGCCAUUGCCGGCGUGGGACAACCCUACUCCGCUGCAGUGGAGCAAGCCAAGUUCAGUAGACGGGGGCAACACCGCGGGAAGUGCGGUGACCUCCUUGAGUUUUGUUACAUGGACUCUGGGAUCAUCUUCCAGAAUCAGAAUGAGCAUCUCCCUUGUCCCUAGCAAAGGGAGCACCAUCACCAUUCCAAUCUUGAACAUCGUUGGGCCUAUGGGGGCGCGACGAUGAUAUUGGAACUUGCGCCACUUCCACUCCUAUUUCGGAUCCUCUGAUCCCGCCUCCUCCAUGGCCUAGAUAUCUACUUGCAGAGGGAGCUUGCUUAGCCCCUCUAGCGACAGCCUCUCGUCCUCCUCCACUAUUAGCCUCUAACAGAUCAAGCACGCCGCCUCGUACAGAUUGUCCUUGGUCACAGACCAUGAACAGAUCUCCUGCAUCCGAUUCAUCUUCACCUUAUCUUCGCUUGGGAUCUCCAAUAGCUUCGACUCCAUCUUCAACCUCUAAUCUGCCACUGCUCAUCAAAAUUAGUGGAGAACGCAAACUAGACAGAGAUGAGAGUUUUUCGCUGCCGCAAGGUGGAAUGACAAUGGACUUGUGGGGGGUAUGGCGUAAUCGUGCUCUGGAGGGGAGUAAUUGCCAUCCAGCCACACCGCACAUUCAUGGCAUCGCCCAACCUCCCACUCCUCGCAGCGCGCAUUGAGCACGCCACCGAGACCCGCACAAUCCAGAGUCGUGCUAAUCCAAGCAACGUGACAAAGGGGAAUUUACCUCCAAACGUGCGCCGAUCUGCUCACCGGCUAGGCAAACCCUUCCAUCGCCCCCUGCCAUUCUUGUCAAGUAGUAGGAGGCGCUCCAAGUCUGCCUGCCAGAGCACGACCCCCGGCGGUACACCAGGAGAUCCGCCGCCCAGAGACUGGCAACGUAGAGAGCCUGCCAACAUGUGCCGCAUGUUUCUGCCUCGCCCGUGGAACGCGUAGGGAACAACAUUCGUCCGUUAUUACCCUUCUCGUGGGAGUACAUACUCAAUUCAUGCGGUCCCUUUUUAUCGACGGACUUUACAUUGAUUUAUUAUUGGUUGCAACCUUUUUUGGUAUAUUACCAAGCGGACUGCUUGGUAAUGGAGCUUUACAUUCGAUAAUAUAUAAUUGGCUUAUAUUUAAAUUAUGGUCGAGAUAGAUGUUUCUGUUUGCUGCACUUGGCACGUCUAUUACUUGGAAGCCGAACAUGGAUAUAUAUAUAUAUAUAUAUAUGGUUCACCACGCGCCAGAAUUCACAUGGUCAAUUCCACUUAACGUUCAACCAACAUGCAUCCAUUCGUGAAUAUGGUAGAUGAGUAUUUAAGCUGCAAAAAAUGAAACCAUCCAUUCGUGACAUUAUGGUCCCCGCCCUCGUCGCCAGCGGGCCCCGAGGUUGGGCGCGCAGAGGCCGCUGGCGACGAGGGCAGGGACGGGCGCGCGCGGUGACGAGGGCGGGGACGGGCGCGCGCGAAGGGGGCAGCGACGGGGACGAGGACGGUGACGGCGACGGGGAUGGGCUGACGCGCGCGGCGGGGGGGCGACGAUGACGACAGGCGCGAUGAAGCAGAACAGAAACUAACUGAAAUUUUCGUAAGUGUUGUAUAUAUAGGACGGACCUUUAGUACCGGUUGGGGCCACCAACCGGUACUAAAGGUCAAAUUUGGCCAGGCCAAGCGGCGGGAAGCGACCCCCUUUAGUAUCGGGUUGUGGCUCAACCCGGUACUAAGACACCCCCUUUAGUACCGGUUGGAGCCACGAACCGGUACUAAAGUGGGUGCGCUCCCAUCCCGCGGUGCACAAAGUUUAGUCCCACCUCGCCGGGCGAAGGGCAGCCGCACUGGUUUAUAAACCCAGCCACGGCUGCUCCUUCGAGCUCCUCUCUAAAGCAGGCUUCUAUGCCUAACUUUGGCGCGCUGCCCUAUGAGCCUACUGGGCCUUAUGGGUGUGCAUAUCCAUGCCCAAAGCCAAGCAGACCCACUGGGCAGCGACCAAAUAUUUUUUUUAUGUAGUUUUGUUUUCUUUCUGCUUUAUUUAUUUUCUUCUAUUUAUUUCUGAGUAGUUUUUUUGUUGUAUUUAGAGUUUCUUUGUGAAUAUUUUUGCUUUAGGUACAAAAAAUUACAAAGUUUCUUUGUGAAUAUUUUUGUUGUAUUUAAAGAGUGUCCAGUUUGUACACGAAGUGUAUCCAGUUUUUGCCGUAACCCUCUCUACUUUUUUGCACAUGCCAUUUGGAUGAAAUGAUGAUACCAUGCCAAGUUUCAACCUUUUCAGAGUUCAUUUGUAGUGCUUUACAAUUUUAGGAUUAUUUAGCUCAAAACAAAUCAGUAAAUGCAUGAAAAAUAGCAAAUGAAGGCACAAAGGGUUGAAAGUUGACGACGUGGGUUUGAAUGGUGCAUAAUAAAUGCACAAAAAGUCUGGAGUUGUAAUAAGUUUAGAAAAAUAAAGUGCCUUUGUAACAGAUGAGUUUUCGUCCGAAACCCUGAUACUUCGAAAGAGAGUGUCCAGUUUGUACACGAAGUGCAUCCAGUUUUUGGUGUAACCCUCUCUACUUUUUUGCACAUGAUAUGUGGGUGAAAUGAUGAUACCAUGCCAAGUUUCAACCUUUUCAGAGUUCAUUUGUAGUGCUUUUCAAUUUCAGGGUCAUUUAGCUCAAAACAAAUCAGUAAAUGCAUGCAAAAUAGAAAAUGAAGGCAAAAAGGGUUGAAAAUGAUGACGUGGCUUUGAAUGGUGCAUACUGAACGUAAAAAAGUAUGAAGUUGUAAUAAGUUAAAAAAAAUAAAGUGCCUUUGUAACAAAUGAGUUUUCGUCCGAAACCCUGAUACUUCGAAAGAGAUUGUCCAGUUUGUACACGAAGUGCAUCCAGUUUUUGCCGUAACCCUCUCUACUGCACAUGCUAUGUGGGUGAAAUGAUGAUACCAUGCCAAGUUUCAACCUUUUCAGAGUUCAUUUGUAGUGCUUUUUAAUUCCAAGGUUAUUUAGCUCAAACAAAUCAGUAAAUGCAUGAAAAAAUAGAAAAAUAAAGGUAGAAAGGGUUGAAAGUUGAUGAUGUGGCUUUGAAUGAUGCACACUGAACGCAAAAAGUCUGGAGUCGUAAUAAGUUUAAAAAAUGAAGUGCCUUUGUAACAGAUGAGUUUUCUUCCGAAACCCUGAUACUUCGAAAGAGAUUGUCCAGUUUGUACACGAAGUGCACCCAGUUUUUGCCGUAACCCUCUCUACUUUUUUGAACAUGCUAUGUGAGUGAAAUGGUGAUACCAUGCCAAGUUUCAACCUUUUUAGAGUUCAUUUGUAGUGCUUUUCAAUUUCAGGGUCAUUUAGCUCAAAACAAAUCAGUAAAUGCAUGAAAAAUUGAAAAUAAAGGCACAAAGGGUUGAAAGUUGAUGACGUGACUUUGAAUGGUGCAUACUGAAUGCAUAAAAAGUCUGAAGUUUUAAAAACAUGUAAAAAUAUACAUAAAAAAUCCUAUACAUAGAGUUCAAUGAAGACCAAUUGGUUGUGACAGUUUGAGCAGUAACAUAUUUAAGGUGGUAAAAACCCUCUUAGGGUAGCGAGGUGAGACUAAAAAGCCGCAGCAUGGCGAAACUUUAGUACCGAUUUGUGGCAUGAACCAGUACUAAAAGGGUUGGUGAGGCCACAGCCUGCCAACAGCCUGCUGUAGACUCUUUAGUACCGGUUCGUGACACGAACCGGUACUAAAGAUUCUCCAUGAUCCGAUACUAAUAAGCGCCGCCCGCCAAACCAUUUGAACCGGCACUAAUGGUCACAUUAGUGCCGGUUCAGCUACAAACCGAGACUAAUGUGCUUCACAUUAGACCCUUUUUCUACUAAUGCUAGCAGAUUCUACUUUUUUCGACAUCACGCUAUCACGUUCUACUUUUUUUAGGGAACGCUAGCACGUUCUACUUUAUUAGCCCUUUUUAGGAUCUUUAUUAGCCUUUUUGCUUUCCGAUCAAAACAUGCACGGGUGUGUGUGUGUGUGUGUGUGUGUUUACGGCAAGGGGUGGCUCAUAUACGCAUUGGACUGUGAUACAUGAACAGAAUCUAUAUAUGUAAACACAUGAAUCCGUACAUCUCAAUUGAAAAAAAUGCCUUUGAAUGUGUUGGCUCCUAUGUCCUUAUCUCUACUGUCUAAAAAGAACACAAGUUUCCUUUUCCUAUCAACUGGACCACUAUUCUGCCGAUCGUCCAUCCCAUGACUAUCAUCAUCUGUUUCUAUCCCUACUCGGUUUCCUCCUGUCAAAAAAACCCGCUCCACCAUCCAUCCUAACCCUAAUCCCCUCCUCUCCCGAGUUGGACGCCACCACUCUUUUUGGAGAAAAUUGGCUAUUUACCACUUUUAAUAUUGGGCUUCUCAAAACUGCCACUCUCAAGAUUGACUUCGCAAAAAUGCUAUCUAGAUCGUGUGCACUUUGAUUACCAUGCCAUUUUCUCUUUUCCAUUGCUUUUAUUUUUUAUUUUCCCAUUUGUUGCCACCCGAAAAGACGAAAGUACCUCUGGAUAUUUCAACCUUUUCUGAUGCAUGUGUGGACUGGUUGGGUCGGAUUGCUAUGAGGCGCUCAUCCUUGUCUCCACCGUAGCUUACUGAUGCUAGUGCGAGCCACAACAGCUCACCGCCCUAGCUCGCCCAUGCCUAUGCCAGUAACCGCAGCUUGCCGCUGCCCGCCAUUGCUAGCCCAAGCCUGCGUGUGUCGGCAGAACUCGUUGUGGCCCUGCUUAUGCCUACUCGAUCUCUCGUACCUCACCACCAGUGCUCGUCCAAGUCUGCACGAGCGAGCAAAGAUCGCCCUCGCCUCGCUGAUGCCUGUGCAAGCCACUGCAGCUCGCCGCCCAGGCCCUGCGCGAGCAACCGCAGCUCAACCAUGUAGCAUAGACUUUACAUAUUCUAAAAUUUCCGUAGUAUACUUCGACUAACUGUAGGUUGUCGGAUGUGCAGGUUAACACAAGUAAUGAGAUAACCAAAUGUAACGGUAGAAAAAUACUGUGCAGAAGGAUUGGAUUCCAUUUUGCCGCUGCAGUACCUAGCGAUCUGGAGAUGAAUGGCGCAGAGCGGCGAUCGAUGACGCGCGACGUCCAGGCGAUCAGCGGCAUGCGAUGCCCAGACAAAUCGGGGGCGCACUUGUUGGAACCGAAGCCCUCUAGCUAUCUCUCCUCUCACUCGAAUGGAGGUGGAAGAAGAAGAACAGUGGACACAAGAUUUUUCGGCCGACACACGAACGCCGCCACGGGCGCUCAAACCCACCAAUCUUUUCUUCUUUACAAUGGCUACAUGGC
rnacentral:lncRNA from 1 species